CAGAGCGGCGGAUGCCGGGAAGUUGGUCAAACUUGAUCAUUUAGAGGAAGUAAAAGUCGUAACAAGGUUUCCGUAGGUGAACCUGCGGAAGGAUCAUUACCGAUAACAAUGAAUCCAAAAAGGUUAUCAUUAACCUCUGUGAACCGUACACAACCUUUAGGGGUCGGUGAUGGUGCCGUUAAAUGGUCGUUCGUCCGUUGAUUCGGCGUUCGGCCAGCCCCGCCUUUUGUAACGCACUUGAAUGUACCAGUCUGAAACCUUGCUGCCUGUCCUGCCAGGUGGUAGUGUAAACGAAAAUGAGAGAGACAACUUUUAACGGUGGAUCUCUUGGCUCACGUAUCGAUGAAGAACGCAGCCAGCUGCGAUAAGUAGUGUGAAUUGCAGAAUUCAGUGAAUCAUUGAAUCUUUGAACGCAAAUGGCGCUCUUGGGUUCUCCCAGGAGCAUGUCUGUCUGAGUGUCGGAUAUCAUCCAACGCACUUGAGUGUGCGGAAUUGAGGCGUCACGGCGUCACACAACUCGCCGUGUCCCUCGAAGGAAAGCGUGCUAGACUCGCAUCGUGCGGUUUCAAACCUGCACUCCACAUGCGAAGGCUAAAACUAUUUUGUCCUUCGUCGGAGUGCGGGUCCGCCACAGCGCGAGCCGGCCGAAAAAGGUGGGCGACACUUAACAUCUGACCUC
rnacentral:misc_RNA from 1 species